GAUCCACCAGAGCUGAAGAGGGCAAAAGAAAACCAGAAAAACAUCAGCAAUGUUUAUUACAGAGGUCAGCUGGGAAGAGCUACCACUUUAAGUGUAACUCCUGAAAUGGAAAGAGUGAAGAAGAAUCAAGAAAAUAUUAGCUCGGUAAAAUAUACCCAGGACCAUAAACAGAUGAAAGGUAGACCAAGUCUGAUUUUAGAUACACCUGCUAUGAGACAUGUUAAAGAAGCACAAAAUCAUAUUUCAAUGGUAGGGUCCAACCAGAUCAUUCUUAAAACAUGCUAAGGAAUGGGCGGAUCCAGUGCACGGAUGGCAUUACUUCACUAUUAAUCCGAUAACUAACAAAGCAUGGAAAUGUGGUUGGCUUGUCUUUUGAGGGAGGGGCAUUUCUAAUCACACUGAAAUGCAGUGGAAACAUUUAGUCUAAUAAAAUGAUUUUUCUCAGUGA
rnacentral:lncRNA from 1 species